rnacentral:tRNA from 1 species
GGGUGGUACAAGUGGUUAAUGCACUUGGCUGCUAACCAAAAGGCUGGAGGUUCGAAUCCACCCAGAGCCA